GAUGAAGAACGUAGCAAAAUGCGAUACUUGGUGUGAAUUGCAGAAUCCCGUGAACCAUCGAGUUUUUGAACGCAAGUUGCGCCCGAAGCCUUUUGGUCGAGGGCACGUCUGCCUGGGCGUCACGCAUCGCGUCGCCCCCCACAAUUCUCCGUAAAGGGAACAUGUGUUUUGGGGGCGGAUAUUGGUCUCCCGUGCUCAUGGCGUGGUUGGCCGAAAUAGGAGUCCUUUCGAUGGACGCACGAACUAGUGGUGGUCGUAAAAACCCUCGUCUUUUGUUUCGUGCUGUUGCUCGCAAGGUAAACUCUUUAAAAACCCCAAUGUGUCGUCUCUUGACGACGCUUCGACCGCGACCCCAGGUCAGGCGGGACUACCCGCUGAGUUUAAGCAUAUCAAUAAGCGGAGGA
rnacentral:misc_RNA from 1 species